AUUGAACGCUGGCGGCAGGCCUAACACAUGCAAGUCGAACGGUAGCAGGAAGAAGCUUGCUUCUUUGCUGACGAGUGGCGGACGGGUGAGUAAUGUCUGGGAAACUGCCUGAUGGAGGGGGAUAACUACUGGAAACGGUAGCUAAUACCGCAUAAUGUCGCAAGACCAAAGAGGGGGACCUUCGGGCCUCUUGCCAUCAGAUGUGCCCAGAUGGGAUUAGCUAGUAGGUGGGGUAACGGCUCACCUAAGCGACGAUCCCUAGCUGGUCUGAGAGGAUGACCAGCCAAACUGGAACGGAGACACGGUCCGGACUCCUACGGGAGGCAGCAGUGGGGAAUAUUGCACAAUGGGCGCAAGCCUGAUGCAGCCAUGCCGCGUGUGUGAAGAAGGCAUUCGGGUUGUAAAGCACUUUCAGCGGGGAGGAAGGGGGAAUGGUUAAUAACCAUUGCCAUUGACGUUACCCGCAGAAGAAGCACCGGCUAACUCCGUGCCAGCCGCCGCCGUAA
rnacentral:rRNA from 1 species